CUUUUCUUACCCAGCUAAAGCGUCCACGGUUUAUCACUUCAUCCUGUGCCCUCGCCAGUGCCCUCCGUCUGGGCAGCUUCUAGGAGCCAGAAAAGGCAGGGAAAGGAAAAGGAAAUAGAUUCUUCCGGAGCCUCCAAAGGAAUGUAGUCUGCCCACACAAUGUCAGACUUCUGACCUCCAGCACUUGAGCAUUGCCGGCAUCAUUCACUCCCAUUUCCAGAUGAGGGUAUUGAGGCCCAGAGGGACCAAGUAACCUGCCCAGGGUUACACAGCCUGUUGCUGGGAAAGCACGGAUUUCAACCCAGGUCUCGCUGACUUCUUAGUGUACACAGUUCCCUGCGAACUCCGCCGUCUCUUGAACUUCUGUCCCUGCUCAAAGGCAAAGAGCCUCGUGGGUUUAUAAAAUGAUGUGCCCUGUUUGGUGGACAGAACAUUCUGGGGUCCAGGGAGGCCAGUAAUUACAAGGGUCCCUGGCUUUUUGAAGACUCAGACCCAGUGGUUCGAGCACGUCAGUUCACGGAGGAAAGCAGUUCAGUCCUAAGAUGUCAUCUGCCUAAGGUAGCGGCGGAGGAAGGUCGAAGAGCCAAGUGUCUCAAACUCGCCCGAGAGCACAAUAGCUAAGAACGUUGACUUUAGAGUGUAAAAUGCUGCAGCCCCUUUGGAGAACAGUUUGGCAAUGUCUCAUAAAGUUAGAUACACUUUGAUACAAUCCAGCCAUUGCACUCCUAGGCAUUUGCCCAAGAGACGAAGACACAGCCACACAGAGACUUGUAUUCAAAUGCUCACGGCAGGUUGAUUCCUAACGGUCCAGCCCGGAGAAAGCCCAAAUGCCCAAGCAGAGGUGGACGGACAAACAAACUGGGGCACAUCCGUGCAAUGGAACAGCACUCAGCAAUGAAAAGGAACGGACUGUGGACGCGCACAACAAAAAGGAGGCAUCACGAAACAUUGUGCUGAGGGAGAGAAGCGGGACGCAGGCAUCCAUCCUGGACGAUAGUUCACACAAGAUUCUAGAAGGAGCAAAACUAGUUAAU
rnacentral:lncRNA from 1 species